AAUCCAUAGGUUAAUGAGGCGAACCGGGGGAACUGAAACAUCUAAGUACCCCGAGGAAAAGAAAUCAACCGAGAUUCCCCCAGUAGCGGCGAGCGAACGGGGAGGAGCCCAGAGCCUGAAUCAGCAUGUGUGUUAGUGGAAGCGUCUGGAAAGGCGCGCGAUACAGGGUGACAGCCCCGUACACAAAAGCGCAUGUGCUGUGAGCUCGAUGAGUAGGGCGGGACACGUGGUAUCCUGUCUGAAUAUGGGGGGACCAUCCUCCAAGGCUAAAUACUCCUGACUGACCGAUAGUGAACCAGUACCGUGAGGGAAAGGCGAAAAGAACCCCGGCGAGGGGAGUGAAAAAGAACCUGAAACCGUGUACGUACAAGCAGUGGGAGCACCCUUUGGGGUGUGACUGCGUACCUUUUGUAUAAUGGGUCAGCGACUUAUAUUCUGUAGCAAGGUUAACCGAAUAGGGGAGCCGGAGGGAAACCGAGUCUUAACCGGGCGUUAAGUUGCAGGGUAUAGACCCGAAACCCGGUGAUCUAGCCAUGGGCAGGUUGAAGGUUGGGUAACACUAACUGGAGGACCGAACCGACUAAUGUUGAAAAAUUAGCGGAUGACCUGUGGCUGGGGGUGAAAGGCCAAUCAAACCGGGAGAUAGCUGGUUCUCCCCGAAAGCUAUUUAGGUAGCGCCUCGUG
rnacentral:rRNA from 1 species